rnacentral:rRNA from 1 species
GACUCCUACGGGAGGCAGCAGUGGGGAAUUUUGGACAAUGAAAAAAGCCUGAUCCAGCAAUGCCGCGUGAGUGAAGAAGGCCUUCGGGUUGUAAAGCUCUUUUGUCAGGGAAGAAACGGUGAAGGCUAAUAUCCUUUGCUAAUGACGGUACCUGAAGAAUAAGCACCGGCUAACUACGUGCCAGC